rnacentral:rRNA from 1 species
AGCGAACGCUGGCGGCAGGCCUAACACAUGCAAGUCGAACGAACUCUUCGGAGUUAGUGGCGGACGGGUGAGUAACACGUGGGAACCUGCCUCUCGGUUCGGAAUAACGUCUGGAAACGGACGCUAACACCGGAAACGCCCUUCGGGGGAAAGUUUACGCCGAGAGAGGGGCCCGCGUCGGAUUAGGUAGUUGGUGGGGUAAUGGCCUACCAAGCCGACGAUCGGUAGCUGGUCUGAGAGGAUGAUCAGCCACACUGGGACUGAGACACGGCCCAGACUCCUACGGGAGGCAGCAGUGGGGAAUAUUGGACAAUGGGCGCAAGCCUGAUCCAGCAAUGCCGCGUGAGUGAUGAAGGCCUUAGGGUUGUAAAGCUCUUUCGCACGUGACGAUGAUGACGGUAACGUGAGAAGAAGCCCCGGCUAACUUCGUGCCAGCAGCCGCCGUAA